GCACGCCAUGAAGCAAGCCGCCAGGUCCAGAACUCUCAGCUGCCUUAUAUGCCUGUGUGCUGCCAAGUUCCCCACCAUGAGGAUAAUGGACUAAACCUCUGAAACUCUCUACAGAUCUGUCCCAGGACCUGGCCCAUGCUAAGAAAGUGAGUCACAA